CAAGGAGUUUAUCGUGUACGCAAGUCAUUGGGUGUAUAAAACCCAAAGGCGAAAUGAAAGUAAAAAGUUUAAGUAGAUAAUAAAUAAAUUUUUAAUUUAUUUAUCUAUCUCUUUGCUUAAGGGAUGAUAAAAAUUUUAUUAUUAAUAUAUUUAUAUAUUAUUAAUAUAAAUUUUUCGCAUUCCCAGGGCGCUUGUUUCACGCUUUGCGUGUCAAUGCGCACCUAGAGCGUACACGCUGAUACCCGAAAGAUGGUGAACUAUGCCUGGCCAGGACGAAGCCAGGGGAAACCCUGGUGGAGGUCCGCAGCGAUUCUGACGUGCAAAUCGAUCGUCGGAGCUGGGUAUAGGGGCGAAAGACCAAUCGAACCAUCUAGUAGCUGGUUCCCUCUGAAGUUUCCCUCAGGAUAGCUUGCGCUCGUCUGUGAAGAGUCUCAUCCGGUAGAGCGAAUGAUUAGAGGCAUUGGGGUCGAAACGACCUCAACCUAUUCUCAAACUCCAAAUAGAUGAGAACCCCGGCUUUCUUAAAAUUGAAGCCGUGGGAAUCGGAUCAGAGUGCCAAGUGGGCCAAUUUUGGUAA
rnacentral:rRNA from 1 species